rnacentral:rRNA from 1 species
GAUAAACGCUGGCGGCGUGCAUGAGACAUGCAAGUCGAACGAAGGAUCGGGCUUGCUCGAUCCUUAGUGGCGGACGGCUGAGUAACGCGUAGGUGACCUACCCCGAAGUGGGGAAUAACUGCCCGAAAGGGUGGCUAAAACCGCAUGUGGUCGCACGUUCAUUCGUGCGAGUAAAGCCGCAAGGCGCUUCGGGAGGGGCCUGCGUCCGAUUAGCUCGUUGGUGGGGUAAUGGCUUACCAAGGCGACGAUCGGUAGGUGGUCUGAGAGGACGAUCACCCAGACUGGGACUGAGACACGGCCCAGACUCCUACGGGAGGCAGCAGUCGGGAAUUUUGCUCAAUGGGGGAAACCCUGAAGCAGCAACGCCGCGUGAGGGAUGAAGGCCUUCGGGUUGUAAACCUCUUUUGUCAGGGACGAUGAUGACGGUACCUGGCGAAUAAGCCACGGCUAACUACGUG